rnacentral:rRNA from 1 species
CCUACGGGAGGCAGCAGUGGGGGAUAUUGCACACUGGGGGAAACCCUGAUGCAGCGACGCCGCGUGUGUGAAGACGGUCCUCUGGAUUGUAAACCACUGUCCCCAGGGACGAAGAUGACGGUACCUGGGGAGGAAGCCCCGGCUAACUACGUGCCAGCAGCCGCGGUAUUACGGAGGGAGAGAGCGUUGCCCGGAAUUACUGGGUGAAAAGGGAGCGUAGGCGGGGAUGCAAGUUGGGUGUCAAAACUACGGGCUCAACUGGUAGUCGCACUCAAAACUGCAGCUCUUGAGUGAAGUAGAGGCAGGCGGAAUUCCUAGUGUAGCGGUGAAAUGCGUAGAUAUUAGGAGGAACACCGGUGGCGAAGGCGGCCUGCUGGGCUUUUACUGACGCUGAGGCUCGAAAGUGUGGGGAGCAAACAGGAUUAGAUACCCGUGUAGUC